GUGCGGACAGGGCUUGCUCGAGCUGUGCGGGAUGCGGAAUUAGCACCAACAGCAACCCGAGCGCGGAGCUCAUUCUUUGCACCCACCAGCCCUGGACUGAAAUGCCGAAACAUUAAAGCAUACGUUAUACAAAGUGGUUCCAAAUACUUUCCCCUAGUUGAGAUGCGUCUCCUAGCGCUAACCAAUAACACAAGUUUCCUGCCACUUCUUUCAAGAAGCGGGAUAAAUGUUAACAACUGUUUUCGGCUUCUGAGAAGCAAAGAUGCCUCCUCCCCUUCCACCGCGUUUCACGUGUGCGAGAACCUCGCGGAGAAAGCGCUUUGAAUUCAGAACUGCCAGGCGGGACAGACUCUAGACAUUUCAUCUGUCAACCUCCACAACCCCAAGGAAUUAUGAAACACGGGCGGAGUACAGGACCAGCUACAGGGAGCACCAGGGCCCUCUUCUGCUGUCCUGAAAGUCAGCCGAAGAAGAAGAAGAACGCAGUGCCCGGCCGCAUGCAGACAGCGGCCGCUCUAACACACUCCGCCUUUGCUGCGCAUUCCUCCUUCCUUCUUGCUUUUCCUAAACAACCCUGCAACAUUUGGCACACCAACACUGGCGAUAAUAUUCUAAACGAGCCCCAUAUGUAAACUGGCAAGUGUCCAACUUCUUAAUUACUUUCCUGCCUCUAUCUAAAAAAGAUCUAAGUAGCAAACACCACGCUACUGCAUGUGAAGCAAAGCCUCUGUUUAUAAAUGUUCGAAGCCGCCACCAAAACAAUACAUUGUUCUGCCUUCAGCACAAUGAAAAAGAGGUUUGGUCUGCUUUUUUUUUUUUUUUUUUGAAGAUAAAAGCUCUCAAGUGUUUGGAGCUAGAGCUAUGCAGCAGACUUGCAAGAACAUAGUCUGCCUAGAAAACCACAUGACAAAAUGACAUUUUUCUGGAACCUGAGUCGUGUGACACCGCAUCGAUACACCACCACUUAUCUUACCAGCUGCAUCUGCCAGUUGGCUAAAUGAGCUCCCUUCCAAAUGCAUACAUGAAUUAAAAAAUCCAUUUUCCCCUGCAUUUUUUUUUUUUUUUUUUUUUAGAAGGCCAGGGUUUUACUUCAGGACAAAUAAAUACGGAACCUGGACUGGGACUGGGCGGAACCCUGUCCUCUCCGCCUCAUUCUGCAGGAGCCCCCUCCACCCCUGACAACUCGUGCGAAUGUCUUCACUGCCAGUGAGGGAAGACCUGAGACCCAGCACGAGUUCCACCAGUUCCCGACCACAGAUCCUGCUCCAGCUCCGUAUGGCAAAGCACGAUGUCAGUCACUGCUAGCGGCCGGACUGGUUACCUCCCCACCUGCAACAAAUCGGAGCUGCCCUUUCCCAGGCCCUCAGCAGUCUGGCAGAGUGUUCGUUCUGGGGUCUUGCUGUGAAGCACCUGGGCCCAGCACACGGAAAACACUCAGUCCAAGGUCCCGCUGCUAUUUCAACAGACUGUCAAGCAGGGCCGUCUGGUAAGUGAAAACCGGUGCAUCUCUCGUUUUCAUUUUAGUUUUCCCCUGGUCACAAAUAAUACUAGCUCUCAACCAGUUUAGUAGCUUUAGGAUCUGGAGAUAGUCUGCGUCACCUCCGACAGUUCCCAUGUUUGUCUCGUGUAGGGUCUUCUAGCACCAUGUUGACAGAAGCCACCACGUGCCCAGCAGUUCGGGAAGCCGGGCCGUGCUAACCUAAGCCUGGGCAGGCGCAUGUGCGUGUGUGCGCACAUUUUCCCGGGUCCCUCCAGUGCAUCCUAUCUCAUCAAUUUAUCGGUUUACUCUCGCUCCAGUAAGUUUUUGUGCUACUUUAUUGCUUCACUGAGUAAUACAAACAGCGCCCUUCCCAGCCCACCUCCUCCUCCUGUGCCCCCGGCCACACCAAACCACCUUUACCACCCUUGCAGGCUCCUCCAUCACCUGCCUUUCACAGCUAAUCCAAAACUCAGCUCAGGUCGCCUCCACGGGAAAGCCUUCCUGGACCAUCCCCUGUCCUCGGUCUGGGUUAACGGGCAUGUGGCCCCCCACAGUUAUCUUUUAGUGGCCCCCCAGCCCACUUCGGCAUGACUAUUAUCCUAUUAUCCCUAUACUUGGUAGGCAUUCAAUAAACAUUUUGCCCAGUGACUUAAUGCAGAUAUGCUUGAAGAGACAACACGGGGGUGCCUGGGUGCCUCAAUUGGCUGGGUGACUGCCUUCAGCUCAGGUCAUGAUCCU